rnacentral:lncRNA from 1 species
CCGCCGGCUUCUCUUCCGCUACUCCGCCACUACAUCGUCGCGAAUCUCCGUUGUCCAAAACGCGAAUGAGAAGAAGAAGAAGAUUCGCCCUACAAAAAGUUUAAAAAUAAAUAGAUGUAACAUUUAUUGUUCUACUUUUUUUUAUGACUAUUUUGUUACUCAUAAAUACUAAAAUGGUUACCUUUGUAUGAAUGGUUGGCUACCAACUACAUCACAUUCAAACGAAAUUGGUAACUUAGUAAAACUGAA